CUACGACCUGCGCACAACGCGGGACGCAGACGCGCGCGCGGGGCGCGGGGAGACAGCAGUUUUCAAGUUCUGGAAGAAUGGCCGUACAUCAGAAGUAAUGACAAAGAGGAUGAAUCUGAAAGAUCCGCUUUCCUGUUAAGAUAAAUGCAUUUGAUAAUUGUUCACAGCUGAUGUCCAGAACGUCCUGUUUCAUUUAAUACUCAAUCAAAACAUUAAAUGAAAAUGGAAAAGAUUUGGUUCCCCACCAGUAAAAUGAGGUAAUUAUGUGAAACUGAUCACGCUGUUGAAGAGUUGAAAAGAGAGAAUGUACAUCAGUAUCCAGCUCAGGUCCCUGCCUGUGGAAGGAGAGAUUGUGAAAAAGUAGAACAACAGAGACGCGUGCUGUUGCUCCUGUAACUUGGAACUGGAGAGGAGGCAAGAUGCUGGCAUAGCUGUUGAACUGAGAACCUGCUAUGCCAACAUAUUGCCAUCUUUCCUGUCUGACUGCAGCUUGGCCACCUCCGGGCCAUUCCUCCAUGUAUUGCUGCGUGUAGGGGUUUUGUGACUUGAUCUGCCUCACCCUGACUUCUCUCUAGACUUGUACCAAAGCCCUCACUCCAUUCUAGCCACACUGGCCUGUGGGGGCUGUUCUUAGACACACCAGGGAUGUCCCUGCCUUUUUACCCACCUGCCUCUGUUUAUCAUUGGGUCUCAAAGAACUCUUUCAUAGUGGCACUGUCUAUAAAACCUUCCAUGCGCCCAGCCACCGUUCAUCUCAUGACCCUGCUGUCUUUUCAGAAACAUCAGUCACUACCCAAACAUGUUUGUUUGCUUGAUUGCUGCCUAUUUCCUGUACCAGAUUAUGAGUUCUUUAAAGUACACCAAUCUUCACUCAUUCACUGUAUCCCUAAACCAUGGCAUUUGUAAAUCCUCAAUUCGUGUUUUUGAAACUUUAUCUUGAACUUAUUGUGCAAUAAAGGUGUCAGAUAAUUAGA